rfam:Dipodomys ordii contig_81948, whole genome shotgun sequence.
GGUGGCUCAAUGGUAGAGCGCUUGCCUUGCAUGCAUGAGGCCUUGGGUUCGAUUCCUCAGCACCA